GUUGUUGUGUCCGAGUGGUUAAGGAGGUGGAUUCGAAACCCACUGGGCUCCGCCCGCGCAGGUUCGAGUCCUGUCGACAACG
rnacentral:tRNA from 2 species